GCUCUUUGGACUUAAAUUGUUAUAUUCACGUACGAUUUUGCAUUAAAAGUGUGCAAAAAAUCAUCAAAAAGUUAAAAUUUACAUGCUAUUAUCUGCCGCCAAGUUGAUUUUUCCUGCCUCGUUUCCAAGCUCUGCUCUUGUUUUGUUAAUUGCACUGUAGUAAUUGCACUGCUCUUAGCCAAUCGGAAUUGAGUAAUUUUU